CUGGCUCAGAUGAACGCUGGCGGCGUGCCUAAUACAUGCAAGUCGAACGAGUUCUCGUUGAUGAUCGGUGCUUGCACCGAGAUUCAACAUGGAACGAGUGGCGGACGGGUGAGUAACACGUGGGUAACCUGCCCUUAAGUGGGGGAUAACAUUUGGAAACAGAUGCUAAUACCGCAUAGAUCCAAGAACCGCAUGGUUCUUGGCUGAAAGAUGGCGUAAGCUAUCGCUUUUGGAUGGACCCGCGGCGUAUUAGCUAGUUGGUGAGGUAAUGGCUCACCAAGGCGAUGAUACGUAGCCGAACUGAGAGGUUGAUCGGCCACAUUGGGACUGAGACACGGCCCAAACUCCUACGGGAGGCAGCAGUAGGGAAUCUUCCACAAUGGACGCAAGUCUGAUGGAGCAACGCCGCGUGAGUGAAGAAGGCUUUCGGGUCGUAAAACUCUGUUGUUGGAGAAGAAUGGUCGGCAGAGUAACUGUUGUCGGCGUGACGGUAUCCAACCAGAAAGCCACGGCUAACUACGUGCCAGCAGCCGCGGUAAUACGUAGGUGGCAAGCGUUAUCCGGAUUUAUUGGGCGUAAAGCGAGCGCAGGCGGUUUUUUAAGUCUGAUGUGAAAGCCCUCGGCUUAACCGAGGAAGCGCAUCGGAAACUGGGAAACUUGAGUGCAUAAGAGGACAGUGGACUUCCAUGUGUAGCGGUGAAAUGCGUAGAUAUAUGGAAGAACACCAGUGGCGAAGGCGGCUGUCUGGUCUGUAACUGACGCUGAGGCUCGAAAGCAUGGGGUAGCGAACAGGAUUAGAUACCCUGGUAGUCCAUGCCGUAAACGAUGAAUGCUAGGUGUUGGAGGGUUUCCGCCCUUCAGUGCCGCAGCUAACGCAUUAAGCAUUCCGCCUGGGGAGUACGACCGCAAGGUUGAAACUCAAAGGAAUUGACGGGGGCCCGCACAAGCGGUGGAGCAUGUGGUUUAAUUCGAAGCAACGCGAAGAACCUUACCAGGUCUUGACAUCUUUUGAUCACCUGAGAGAUCAGGUUUCCCCUUCGGGGGCAAAAUGACAGGUGGUGCAUGGUUGUCGUCAGCUCGUGUCGUGAGAUGUUGGGUUAAGUCCCGCAACGAGCGCAACCCUUAUGACUAGUUGCCAGCAUUUAGUUGGGCACUCUAGUAAGACUGCCGGUGACAAACCGGAGGAAGGUGGGGAUGACGUCAAAUCAUCAUGCCCCUUAUGACCUGGGCUACACACGUGCUACAAUGGAUGGUACAACGAGUUGCGAGACCGCGAGGUCAAGCUAAUCUCUUAAAGCCAUUCUCAGUUCGGACUGUAGGCUGCAACUCGCCUACACGAAGUCGGAAUCGCUAGUAAUCGCGGAUCAGCACGCCGCGGUGAAUACGUUCCCGGGCCUUGUACACACCGCCCGUCACACCAUGAGAGUUUGUAACACCCGAAGCCGGUGGCGUAACCCUUUUAGGGAGCGAGCCGUCUAAGGUGGGACAAAUGAUUAGGGUGAAGUC
rnacentral:rRNA from 1 species